rnacentral:rRNA from 1 species
UACGUAGGGUGCAAGCGUUACUCGGAAUUACUGGGCGUAAAGCGUGCGUAGGCGGUUUGUUAAGUCUGUCGUGAAAGCCCCGGGCUCAACCUGGGAAUGGCGAUGGAUACUGGCGAGCUAGAGUACGGUAGAGGAGAGUGGAAUUCCCGGUGUAGCAGUGAAAUGCGUAGAGAUCGGGAGGAACAUCAGUUGCGAAGGCGGCUCUCUGGACCAGUACUGACGCUGAGGCACGAAAGCGUGGGGAGCAAACAGG